CAGACUAGCCAGUGCUCCAGGAUGACUGUGGCUCUUUAUGAGUGAAGAGAAAGGGUAGAGACUGAAGACAGAGCUGGGGACAGUGACAGGCUUGGGGAAGAACAGUUGAUUCAGCAGUCCCAAGCAUCUGAACACAAGGUGGACAUUCUCCAGGGUGACAUGGCAAAAUACAUGGGUGAAGACAACCUAGUGGCCGUGACUUGGAGCACCCUUCCUCACAAGGAAGGCAUUCUGGGCCAGCCUGAAAAACAGCAUGGAAAUAAAUCACCUAAGUACAAGGGACCUCGGUGACAACGCUGUGAACAUCUAUGGAUUCCACAUUCAAGUACUUUGUCACAACUGUCUCCACAAGUUGGUACAUCCUCUGUACAAGGCAAAGAAAACUCUAAAAACACACAAAAAGUCAAUGUUAAUAAUAAGAGACAUUAUUAUUAAACAUCAACAAAGUG
rnacentral:antisense_RNA from 1 species